ACAUAAUAUUAAUGUAUUCAGGGUCUUUUUCUAAGGUUUUUAUUUUUGGGUAGUCAGUGUAGCAUAUGUACUUUCUUUGACUUCAUACUUUUUUUUUUUUUUAAUAGGCUGAAACUGCCAUACUUAGUCUUAAGCCUGCAGUAAUGGGUAGAACGUAUCUUGUUGAGGAAGCUGUUGGGCAAUAUCUUUCGGACCUCAACACAAAAUUAAAGCCUUGUGUCACAGGCCUGUUAAUAGGACAGUGUUCCUCACAAAGAGACUAUGUAAUUAGGGCUGUUCGAACGCCUCCAAAGGAAGAGCAAAAUGAAGUCAACGUAAACCCUUCAAAACUGGCAUCCAUCGAUGAAGAAUGGAUAACUGCACAUGCCAGCCAGGUUUCUAGGAUGCUCCCUGGAGGCUUGUUAGUUCUUGGUGUAUUUGUUAUUGCUACUCCAGAACUGGCAAAAGAUAGUCAGAAUGCUUUGCGCAAGCUAAUCUUCUCAGUGGAAAAAUCUGUGUCUAAAAGGCGGCUCUGGAAACCUGCUGAGGAGGAGGUCUCAGAUAGAGCAGCUCUUCAAGUUUGUUCUGCAACAAAGAAAAUAGUUUGCCGAACCUAUGAUGUACAAGAUCCAAAGAGUUCAGCUAAACCAGCAGAUUGGAAAUACCAGAGUGCUCUAUCUGCUUGCUGGCUAACUUUGGACUGCACAGUGAAUGUUAAUAUUCACAUUCCACUUCUUGCUACUUCACCCAACCAUGACUUGGAGAAGAAUACCAAGAAUGGAUUAAAUCGGUGGUCAAAACAGAUAGAGGACAGUGUUCUCCUGAUCAAUGGACAAGUUAAAGAUAAUGAUACGGAACUACUGGAAGGUCUGAAAAAGUUGAGAGGAAAUACUCAGUCCAACACUCAGUUUUCUGAUGUCAAGGUUCUGACACAGCUGUCCCAGGGUUCAAGUUGUAGAUCGACAGCUACAGUCCAGGUCUGCAGUGGUUCCAUAAAUCUCAAAGGUGCUGUGAAAUGCAGAGCCUACAUCCAUAACAACAAGCCAAAAGUUAAAGAAGCUGUUCAGGCUUUGAAAAGAGACAUAAUAAAUACAUUGAGUGAUCGUUGUGAAAUACUGUUUGAAGAUCUCAUUAUAAAUGAAGGACUUGACAAAAAAAAUUUCCAGAGGGAAUGUCGUGUCUUACCUCAAAGGCUAUUUGUCCCUGUUGCUGGAUCCAGUGUGAUGCUCAGUGAUUAUAAGUUUCAUGAUGAGGCUGCUGGAGAAAUUCAAGAACGUUUUGUUGAGAUGUUGGAUCAGACUGUGCGAGCUGAAGAUAUACAGAUAGCAGAGGAAGUUAACACAGUUCAUAUUUGUCCAGUUACUGACAACAUGGAUGACACAGAACAGAAUCAACUGACAAAAGCAACAUUGCUGUUGAAACUUCAACAAAAUAUGGGUGUGGUAAUAGCAGCUGCAGUUGCAGUCUUUGCAUCAAUCUUCUCUUUUAACUACUUCAGUGACUAAACUCAAGCAAAAGGAGCCUCAUGGAAACAUUGACCAGUAAUCACGCUUAUACAAGAUGGAAACAUCUGGGUUUAAUACGGCUUCUCAGGAAAAUGAAUGCUACAAUGGAGACACUGUUUUCAGGUAAGUUCUUCAGCUGCUGCAUAUUUUCCAUGCAAAUGGAUAGAGUCAGUAGGCAAAAUGGUAUUAUACAAAAGCAGUUGAUUCAAGCAUUUCUUUGGAGGAAUUGGAGUGCUAUCCAGAGAAUAAGAUGAAUUUACCAGUACACUUUAAAAUAUGAUUGGCUUAAAAAUUGCUCCACUAUAGUCACUGUUAGAAGCAAGGAAUGACAGGGAGUGGGGAAGUAACGGGAAGAAAAAAGCUUCAGUCCUUUGUCUUAUUCUCUUGAACAUGUACAUCUGUUUACCUUUUUGUUAUCCAGCUCUCAAGAAGACCUGGUCAUUGGGCUUGUUUUGAUACAAGUUCUCCUUUGCUGCUUUAUUGAAGAAGCAUGCUUUCAUCUUCUAUCCAUUUGGUAUUUUCUUGACUAAGUGCGGGUGUUGCAUGGCUUAUUUAACGUUUAAACCAUUCUGUAUGAGCUUAGAGAACAAAAUGUGAUCUUUGUACUCUCAACAACAACAAACAACUCGCUAAACUGCAGCUCUCACUUAUUCUUGCUCAAGCUCUUAUUACUCUCCCAUCCUAGCUUGCCUGCGGUUUCUGUAUUUGCAGCAUCGUGAAAGAAAAGAAAGAAAUUGAAAACAGUGUUCCACACACAGCCAGUUUUCUACUUCAGUCUCAAGCACCCUAACUUCUCUGUAAAAGGAAACACUUAAUUUCAAAAUGCUCUGCAUCAGCUUUUGGAGGUAAAAAUGCGAAACAGUUAUUCUCGAAUGACGUAUUAUUUGAAACUCGACCAUAGAGGUGUGAAGUGCAUCACUUGUGGCGAUAACUGUUAUGCCACAGAAAAAUUGUAUUUGAUUCAAGAACCUGCUGUGUUAUGAAACACUCUGCAAACAGCUCUUGAAUUUGAUUACCACCUAUAGUGUAAAAUUAGAGCUUACUUAGAGAUGUUUUUGCGUGGAUCCCUGGGAAAGAAUAUGUAUGUGUGCGUAUAUAUCUUUUUUUUCUUGCCAACUUAUUGAAUAUUUAAUAAAGCGUCUUUUCUGCUUA